rnacentral:rRNA from 1 species
UACAGAGGUCCCAAGCGUUGUUCGGAUUCACUGGGCGUAAAGGGUGCGUAGGCGGUCGGGUAAGUCUGACGUGAAAUCUUCAAGCUCAACUUGGAAACUGCGUCCGAUACUAUUCGGCUAGAGGAAUGGAGGGGAGACUGGAAUACUUGGUGUAGCAGUGAAAUGCGUAGAGAUCAUGAGGAAGACCAGUGGCGAAGGCGGGUCUCUGGACAGUUCCUGACACUGAGGCACGAAGGCCAGGGGAGCAAACAGG